CACGUAGUUAGCCGUGGCUUUCUGGUUAGAUACCGUCACACGCAUAACAGUUACUCUAUGCGCUGUUCUUCUCUAACAACAGAGUUUUACGAACCGAAAUCCUUCUUCACUCACGCGGCGUUGCUCCGUCAGACUUGCGUCCAUUGCGGAAGAUUCCCUACUGCUGCCUCCCGUAGGAGUUUGGGCCGUAUCUCAGUCCCAAUGUGGCCGAUCACCCUCUCAGGUCGGCUAUGCAUCACGGCCUUGGUGAGCCGUUACCUCACCAACUAGCUAAUGCACCGCGGGUCCAUCCAUCAGCAGAAGCCGAAGCCUCUUUCCUUCUCGGGUCAUGCGACUCAAGAACCUAUGCGGUUUUAGCAUCCGUUUCGAAUGUUAUCCCCCUCUGAUGGGCAGGUUACCCACGUUGUUACUCACCCGUUCGCCACUAGAUUGACCAGUGCAAGCACCGGUCGCUCUCGUUCACUUGCUAUGUAUUAGGCACGCCGCAGCGUUCG
rnacentral:rRNA from 1 species